AUGCUUUCUAAAGGUGCUUCCUUAAAAUUUUUAUCACAGAUUGAUUUGUUCUAUGGUUUUGUAGUGGAGUAUCAUAGGAGGGGACUGAAGAAGGGUGGAUUUAUUCUGGAAGAGCAUUUCAUGCCUGUUGGAUACCACAGAAGAUAGAUUAAAAAUAGUGAGAAACAAGGUCCGGUUUGGGAUUUGAUGUUAUGAAAAACCCAUUCACUGCAUUGUGGGAAUGUUUGUCUUGAGGUUGCUGAAAGAAAAAGGUUGAAGUAGUGGAUAUAUUUCAUGAUACUUCUUAUAUUGUCUGCUGAUUGAAUGACGUAGUUAAGUGCUAUUUAAAAUGGGUAUUAUUUUGAAAUCCUUAGAGAAGGAAAAAGCCCACAAGAAAUUCUUGUUGAAAAGGACUCAGAGGCAAGAAAACGUGAUAAAGUGUGAAAAUCAGAAUAUCAGCAAAGUAUCCAAUAACCUUUCAACCCUUCUACAGCAUGGAAAAAGUUGCACACUCUUUGAAUUCAAGACUUUUUUCCCUUGCUAUGUAUGUCUACUGAGUUCUCUGAAUCUUCUAGGUGUGACUAUAAUAUACGUGAUAAAUACUGAUGAGAUGUUGCAUUUGUGUAUUUCCAGCUAUGCUGUUUUUCCAAAGACAGUAGAGGAGUCAUAUCUUAAAUUCUUACCUGAAUUUCUGAUGCUUUAAAGAGUUAUCUUUUCUUUAGUGUCUUCCAAUGAAAUAUUCUCUGAAGCAUCAUGUAUUUGGGUCAAGGGAAACCAAAGUCCAAAGCUUUUAAGCUCCUUAUCCAAAAAGAAGAUUCAAGGAAGCAAAAAUGAUGGAAAGAAAAAGUAAUACUGCUGCUCAUGUGAAAGAGCCAAAUUGCUGAGUUCAGUUCUUAAGUUAUAGGAAUGAAAGAAUCUAGCAUGUGAGCAUCGUUCUUUUCUUGCCUGGUUUAUUGAUAAUGCUCUUUUUUUUUUUUUUUCCUAACUUUGGGCUGGGGGAAAUUUUUUUCAUCUUUUUUUUUCUUUAAUUUUAAAUGCUCCUUAAUCAGAAGUUUCAUCUUUUUGUCACUGUUGAUCUU
rnacentral:lncRNA from 1 species